GGAAACGGAUGCUAAAACCGCAUAGGUCUUCGAGCCGCAUGGCUUGAAGAGGAAAAGAGGCGCAAGCUUCUGCUGAUGGAUGGACCCGCGGUGCAUUAGCUAGUUGGUGAGGUAACGGCUCACCAAGGCCGUGAUGCAUAGCCGACCUGAGAGGGUGAUCGGCCACAUUGGGACUGAGACACGGCCCAAACUCCUACGGGAGGCAGCAGUAGGGAAUCUUCCGCAAUGGACGCAAGUCUGACGGAGCAACGCCGCGUGAGUGAAGAAGGUUUUCGGAUCGUAAAACUCUGUUGUUAGAGAAGAACAAGUGCUAGAGUAACUGUUAGCACCUUGACGGUAUCUAACCAGAAAGCCACGGCUAACUACGUGCCAGCAGCCGCGGUAAUACGUAGGUGGCAAGCGUUGUCCGGAUUUAUUGGGCGUAAAGCGAGCGCAGGCGGUUCCUUAAGUCUGAUGUGAAAGCCCCCGGCUCAACCGGGGAGGGUCAUUGGAAACUGGGGAACUUGAGUGCAGAAGAGGAGAGUGGAAUUCCAUGUGUAGCGGUGAAAUGCGUAGAUAUAUGGAGGAACACCAGUGGCGAAGGCGACUCUCUGGUCUGUAACUGACGCUGAGGCUCGAAAGCGUGGGUAGCAAACAGGAUUAGAUACCCUGGUAGUCCACGCCGUAAACGAUGAGUGCUAAGUGUUGGUCUCAUAAGAGAUCAGUGCUGCAGCUAACGCAUUAAGCACUCCGCCUGGGGAGUACGACCGCAAGGUUGAAACUCAA
rnacentral:rRNA from 1 species